GCGGCUACUGCUAUCAGGUUUCGACUAAGCCAUGCGAGUCAAGGGGUCGUAAGACACCGGCGUACUGCUCAGUAACACGCGGACAAUCUACCCCCAGGUGGAGGAUAACCUCGGGAAACUGAGGCUAAUACCCCAUAGUUGUCAUGUGCUGGAAUGCUUCGACGAUGAAAGAAUUUCGCCUGAGGAUGAGUCUGCGGCCUAUCAGGUAGUAUGUGGUGUAAAGGACCACAUAGCCUAAGACGGGUACGGGCCUUGAAAGAGGGAGCCCGGAGAUGGACUCUGAGACACUAGUCCAGGCCCUACGGGGCGCAGCAGGCGCGAAAACUGUGCAAUGCGCGCAAGCGCGACACGGGAAGCCUGAGUGCCUUAACUAUGUUGAGGCUUUUCUUGAUCCUAAAAAGCUCAAGGAAUAAGAGCUGGGUAAGACGGGUGCCAGCCGCCGCGGUAACACCCGCGGCUCGAGUGGUAGUCACUUUUAUUGAGCCUAAAGCGUUUGUAGCCGGAUUUGUAAAUCUCUAGGAAAAUACUUCUGCUUAACUGAAGAAAUUUUGGAGAGACUGCAAAUCUAGGGACCGGGUGAGGUUGAAUGUACUUCUGGGGUAGGGGUAAAAUCCUGUAAUCCUGGAAGGACGACCGGUGGCGAAGGCGUUCAACUAGAACGGAUCCGACGGUGAGGAACGAAGGCUAGGGGAGCAAACCGGAUUAGAUACCCGGGUAGUCCUAGCUGUAAACACUGCCCACUUGGUGUUGCAUCUCCGGUAAGGGGGUGCAGUGCCGUAGCGAAGGUGUUAAGUGGGCCGCUUGGGGAGUAUGGUCGCAAGGCUGAAACUUAA
rnacentral:rRNA from 1 species